rnacentral:rRNA from 1 species
GCAUCGAUGAAGAACGCAGCGAAAUGCGAUACGUAAUGUGAAUUGCAGAAUUCCGUGAAUCAUCGAAUCUUUGAACGCACAUUGCGCCCUCUGGUAUUCCGGGGGGCAUGCCUGUUUGAGCGU